GGUAAAGUCGAGUAUCUGGUGAAGUGGAAAGGAUGGCCCCCAAACAUUGCACUACUGAUGACAAGCAGGCAACUGCGUUGGAGAGGGAGGUCAUCAUGGCUGCAAGGAAGGGACCGGACCCAUAUAAUAUACUACCCCUAAAGGCAGCUUCAGGCACCAAAGAAGACCCUAAUUUAGUCCUCUCCAUCACCAACAAGAGAAGAGUGGGCUGCAUCUGCGUAGAGGACAACAGUACCAUCACCUGCUUUGGGCUGCACAAAGGCGAGACCCAGUGAUGCCCCAGCUAUGGAACCCAUUACAAGCUGGUGCCCCACCAGCUGACGUACUGAGCACCUGCACCAAGUUACUCAAAAUGUGCUGCAAAGUUUCUUCUUUCCAAUAAAGACUAGCCAUUGCAUUGGCUCCUUCUCCCAUUAAAAAAAAAAAAGAAAGGGCCGGGCGCGGUGGCUC
rnacentral:sRNA from 1 species